CUCCUCCAACACAUGACAUCACCUCUUCUCCCUCUCCUCACCAAUUACCUCCUUCACCACAUGACAUAAUCUCUCCUACUUCCCCUCCUGUACCAACCAGAAAAUCUAAUAGACUCACAAAACCACCAGCUUAUCUCUCUGAAUAUCACUGCAAUUUGCUAUCCUCAAUGCUGCCAGCAUAUAAUCCAGGUAACUCUCCUUACCCUCUUUC
rnacentral:lncRNA from 1 species